rnacentral:lncRNA from 1 species
GGGUGGGAAGGAGGACCAUCACAAGACCUAGGGAGAGGAAGUCCCCAAAAUGCUUGGGACAUGACCCAUCCUGAGGCCAGAUACAUACUUUAAAAUUCAGAUAUUCACCGUAGCAGGUAGACAGAUGGAGGAUGGCUGGGGAAGGGAGUUGUGGGCUGAAGUUUAGGGGACUGCAGACACAUCUGGGCCCAGUCCUCAGCUGUUCCUUGCUGGUAUACCUCAGAAGUGGAAUGUCAGAGUGGGCUACUAGAGACCUCUGACCCCAGCAGCACUGGCUUGCCCUCAUAUGUGGGGUGUAGUCACGUCAGUGACUUCCUGGGAAUUGCUUGUUUCAGAUCAUAUUGAUCUCUUUCCUUUUGUCUCUCACCGUAUGGUAUGACUUGAAUCAGUUUUGAUUCUAUGUGUAAGUUCUCAUCGUUUGGAACCUGGUAUUUCUGUUGUGUUCUUGGCAGUGCAUAGGAACCCAGCCUCCUGUGUUUUGACCCUCCUGCAGGCACUGUGGGACUCGAGGGCAGCAGAUCCAUCUCCCGUCCCUUGCUGCAUGAUGGUCACUAGCUGAUCUGUGAUGGCGUCCCUUCCCCCAUUGAUUUUCUGUGUUUGAAGUAUGUGCAUAUGUGCUUUACAGAAUAAAACAUCUGGAUUUACUUGGUUUGCCGUUUUAAUUCCAGCCGGAUUGGUGUUCUUUAAACAAAAAGUAGGCAGGGAGCACUUCCAGGGCUUUGCAGGCUGUUUUUGUUUUUUUUUUUAAAGUAUCCCCGGCCAUGAGGACGAAGGGUGGCCAGUGUUUCCUACUGAGGUGACCUCAACAAACACAGGGUCUUUGUACAGAGUGUAAAACCUUGUGUGAGACCAUGGGCCUGACGUGAACUCUACCAGAAGACCUUAGAAAAAGAGCUAGGGCUGGCCUAGAAUAUCCUCAGCCACCAUUAACAGCAGGCUUUGGCUAGAGACAGCUCAGUGCUUACGAGCCGAUUUCAUAGGACUAGAGUUGUGUCUAGCACCCACACUGGGCUCACAAGUAUAACUCCAGCUCCAGGAGUUAUGCCCUCUUUUAGCCUCUGAACUUGUACACAUAAAAUUUUUUUGGAGGGGUACAGCAGCCCCCUCUGCUCUCUGAAGGUCAGGUUGUGCUCAUGUGGGUGUUAGUCUUGUGUGUCCCUCCUUCACUUCCACCUACUUUCUGUUGGAACCCUGCACUUGAGUGCUCUGUGCUCGGCACCAUCUUCUUUGUUCACGCCCACCUCAAGAGAAUAUGCCUUGGAGAAGCAACACAUCUUUUUAUCAUGUGUUAUUCUAUAUUAUGAGAUCUUGCUUUAUAACUGACUUGUGGGAUAUUGUGCUUUGAGUUCCCUCACACCCAGAAAAGCAAGGCUCACCAGAGAUGUAAACCAUCAAGUUUGCAGUGGUCUUACUGUGGGCACAGGACAGGUGUGGUGGUGCAUACCUUGUGGUCUUAGUACUGAGGGACAGUGAGGCAGGAAGGGCCAGGUUCAAGGCUAGGCUGGGCUACCUAAUUCUUUUUUUCUUCUUCUUUCUUUAUUAUUUAUUUUGGAGAUAUAUCUCACUAUAAAGCCCCAGCUGGCUGGAGCUUUCUAAGUAGAUCAGGCUGGCCACCAAAAUGAAGAUUGGAUCUCUCCUUGUCCCCUGAGUGCUGAGAUUAAAGCUAUGUGCUAACAUGUCUCCCAUGGGUGUAUGGGUUCCUAGGUACUACUGCAAUAAAUGGAAGGAAGGACAACUUGCAGAAGUCAGCUGUUCUGCUCUACCUAAUGUGGGCCCUGGGGUAGGACUCAGGUCAGUAGACUGGGGGGUCUGGGCCUUUGUUGGUCAUGUUGAGAGCCUGAGAACCUAUUUAAAACAACAAAUCCCACAAAGUAACACUUCAUUUGUGAAAGCUGGACUUUUUGCCUCUGAAAACCAAAUUUCUUGUGCUGUGUUGGUUGGUUGUAGAUGAACAAACUAAAAACGGGUUGGUCACAGGCCUAUAGUCCCAGUAUUCAGGAUGCUGAGGUGGAAGUAUUGACUCCUAAUGGGAAGAAAAUAAAUUAAAAGCAAAACC